rnacentral:lncRNA from 1 species
CAUUUUGUGCACAUAUAAGACUGGGACUUGGUUGGCGAAAUGAGAGCAAGGAUUGAAGACGGUGUCGUGUAUUCGCCGUUUCCCGCGGUCGAUAUACCAUGCUGUUCAUUUUACGAUGCUGCAAAACAGGCGCUCCUGGAUCAGCCUGAAAAGCUAGCGUUAGCGGAUGGUUCCGUCGCCGUGACCCGGGGAGAACUCUUCGUCCUAAUGCAACGCUAUGCAGCGGGCUUCCAAAAGCAUGGCGUACAGCCUGGAGACCGAGUAUGCGUGCACCUCGCGAACAGUGUGAACAACUUUGCGGCCAUGUGGGGAUGCGUCUUCGCUGGAGCAAGUGUCACGCUUGCGAGAGCAUCUCUCGCCGCACGCGAACUGCACUACCAACUGGCAGACAGCGACAGCACUCACAUUCUCACGGAGGACGCUUUCACUGAAAAAGUACUGAAGGCGGCAACUUCAGUAAAG